GAUGAACGCUAGCGGCAGGCUUAAUACAUGCAAGUCGAGGGGCAGCAUGUCCCGCAGCAAUGCGGGAUGAUGGCGACCGGCAAACGGGUGCGGAACACGUACAGAACCUUCCUUCGAGCGGGGAAUAGCCCAGAGAAAUUUGGAUUAAUACCCCAUAGUAAAUUGAAAAGGCAUCUUUUUAAUUUUGAAGAUUUAUCACUUGAAGAUGGCUGUGCGGCUGAUUAGGUAGUUGGCGGGGUAACGGCCCACCAAGCCUGCGAUCAGUAACUGGUGUGAGAGCACGACCAGUCACACGGGCACUGAGACACGGGCCCGACUCCUACGGGAGGCAGCAGUAAGGAAUAUUGGGCAAUGGACGCAAGUCUAACCCAGCCAUGCCGCGUGGAGGAUGAAGGUCCUCUGGAUUGUAAACUUCUUUUAUAUGGGACGAAAAAAGGGCUUUCUAGCUCACUUGACGGUACCAUAUGAAUAAGCACCGGCUAACUCCGUGCCAGCCGCCGCCGUAACAC
rnacentral:rRNA from 1 species